rnacentral:snRNA from 1 species
CUGCUUCAGCAGCACAUAUUCUAAAAUUGGAAUGAUACAGAGAAGAUUAUAUGCUCGUGUGCAAUAAUGACACGGAUAUUCGUGGUCUGUGGUUUUU